rnacentral:rRNA from 1 species
AUUGAACGCUGGCGGCAGGCCUAACACAUGCAAGUCGAGCGGUAGCACAGGGAGCUUGCUCCUGGGUGACGAGCGGCGGACGGGUGAGUAAUGUCUGGGAAACUGCCUGAUGGAGAGGGAUAACUACUGGAAACGGUAGCUAAUACCGCAUAAUGUCGCAAGACCAAAGAGGGGGACCUUCGGGCCUCUUGCCAUCAGAUGUGCCCAGAUGGGAUUAGCUAGUAGGUGGGGUAACGGCUCACCUAGGCGACGAUCUCUAGCUGGUCUGAGAGGAUGACCAGCCACACUGGAACUGAGACACGGUCCAGACUCCUACGGGAGGCAGUAGUGGGGAAUAUUGCACAAUGGGCGCAAGCCUGAUGCAGCCAUGCCGCGUGUAUGAAGAAGGCCUUCGGGUUGUAAAGUACUUUCAGCGGGGAGGAAGGUGUUGAGGUUAAUAACCUCAGCAAUUGACGUUACCCGCAGAAGAAGCACCGGCUAACUCCGUGCCAGCCGCCGCAGUAAGAC